ACACAGGAUCAGAUAUAUGAACCAAGGAAAGCAAAUACAUAAGGAGACUGACGUUUUUUAGGCAUCAUAUCCGGAAUUUUCUGGUGUAAACAACGACAGUUGCGUCAGCAGAACAUUGAAGAAAAGCUGAUUAGUCAUGGAGGAAGAAGAUCCCUCUCAAGAAAGUAUUGCAGUGAUGAAGUCAGAUGAGAUGACAGGUUGUGUGAUUUGAAGAUGGACUUCUGCAACAAAGUAAACACUCCUCUACCUUUUCCAUACAAAAGAAACAGCAAAGCAGAGAGAUCGAAACAUUUGGUAAAAGUACAAAGAAAACAGGAUUAGUUAAACUUGUGAAAAAUAUCAAGACUAUUGAAGAGCAGAUUAUAUGCAAAAAGAAAGAUCAAGACUACAAUUGGUAGCUGAAUCAGUAGUCUGGCCACAUUAAUUACUUUUUAAUUAGCUGUUUGUACAUUUAAGGUAAUCUGACUGAGUUACUAAAAUUGUUAUUUAACAAAUAUUUCAAAUAAAUAAAAGAUUUUUGAAUAACAAUCAAUAGAUGCUAUUAAGAACCUCAAUCUCCAACCCCUUUUCUUCAAAUAACAAUUUUUGCCCAUGAUCAUUUUUGUAGUUUUUAAAACUCUGUUUUGUAUUAUU